rnacentral:pre_miRNA from 1 species
UUCUUCAAAGUGGCAGCGCUGCGUGGAGGCUGGGGCCAGCUGGGAGUCGCCAGCUGACCCUGGGCUCCAUGCAGCGCUGUCACUUUGAAACA